rnacentral:lncRNA from 1 species
UUUGGGGGGAAAUCACCCAGAUUUGGGGUGAAAUCCCACAGUUUUGGGGGGAAAUCCCACAGAUUUGGGGGGGAAGACUAAAGUUUUGGGGUCAAAUCCCAGAGAUCUGGGGGGAAAUCCCACAGGUUUGGGGGGAAAACAAAGUUUUGGUGUCAAAUCCCACAGGUUUGGGGGGAAAUCCCACAGGUUUGGGGUCAAAUCCCAGAGUUUUGGGGGAAAAUCCCACAGAUUUGGAGGGAAAACCGAAGUUUUGGGGUCAAAUCCCACAGGUUUGGGGUCAAAUCCCCCAGAUUUGGGGUCAAAUCCUAAAGUCUGUGGGUCCAGUCCCACAGUUCUGCAGUCAAAAAGCCACGCUGGGGCCACACGAAACCAUUUUGGGGCCAAUCGGAGCCAUUUUGGGGCCACGGCAACCAUUUUGAGCAGAAUUUUAGCCAUUUUGGGGCCAUUUAAGUCCAUUUUGGGGCCAUUCUAGGGCCGUUUUGGGGCAAAUUAAGCGGAUUUUGGGUCUUUUGGGUACCUUGGUGUGGCCAGUCUUGGAGCUGCACAUCUCCACCAUCCUACAAGGGCCAUUUUGGGGCCAUUUUUUACCAUUUUGGGGCCAUUUUUAACCAUUUUAGGGCCAUU